AAAUUAUACAUUUUUAUGGGAUGUGGCACAAUUCUGCCAAUCAAUCAUUCAGUCUUGAAAUAUGAGUCAUCUUUCCUUCAGAUUUUGGGAUUUGCUUUGUUGUUGUUUUUUUUUUUUUUUUUCAUUUUUAUGUUCCCUUUUCUUAUUGUUCAAUCAUUUAGUUAUGUCCAACUCUUCAUGAUCCCAUUUUGGGAUUUUCUUACCAAAGACAAUAGAGUGUUUUGCCAGUUCUUCCUCCAAAUCAUUUUAUAAAUGAGCCCAGGGUUUCAAAAUAAUGCCACUUUUUCUCUCACAAAUCUUUAAUGGAAUUUAAUACUUAUAGAAAAAAAAAUACAAACUUAUAAAUAAUAGUCUGUUUCCCAUAGACCUUUGAAACUCUGCUCCAAUAUAUAAUUCCCAUUCACACACUUGGUAUUCUAGCCAAACUGGACUGACUACUUCUGCUUUUUCUUUAGUCUCUUUAAAAUCAUUUUGUCCUCCAAGCAUUCAUUCACUCAUUCAUACAAGCUAUUCUACAAGAUUCCAGUUUUGUUCAUGCUUCAUCUCUAUCUUCUGAGAUCCUCAAGGUUCAGCUAAAGUGCUACCUCCUGCAAGAGGAGGUUCUAUCCUUUCCUAGAUCUUUAGGCUAAAAAGUCUUUUCUCUCAAUACUUUUCUUGAAUAUUUUCUACUUUGGCCUUAACACUCUAUGUGCCCUGAGAUGACAUUUUCUUUUUAAUCAGGUAUAGGAUUGAGAACAGAGAUUUCUACCUUCUAGUCCACAAUAUGUAUUAUUAUAAUCUAGGUUCUAUUUUAGGUUUUAAAAAGCUUUAUACAUGUUAUCUUCUUUCAUGUUCGUGACAGGCUUUGAAGUAAGCAAAAACAGUUCUCCUAAUUUAUAAAAAACAGGGAAUAGCACAGAACAGUGGCUUGCCUGUGUCAUAGAGACAGUAUGUGGCUGAGAAAGUUUUGAGACCAAGUUUCUUCUGAAUCAAAGUCUAACAGUUUUUUUAUCUCUAACACUAAAGUAGUAAAGGACAUCAGAGUGUGAAGUAAGUCAUCACUGCCUGAGAUGAUAUUUUAGAUACAGAUGCUCUUGGUACAUGUGAAGGGAGAUGGAUUCUGACUUCCUGGGACAAUUCUUUUAUUUGUAUGACAAGUUAUAAAAUCUCUAGUAUUAGGGAAAGCUUAAUAGAAUUUUUAUAGCUGUUAACCUUUUU
rnacentral:lncRNA from 1 species